rnacentral:rRNA from 1 species
UAGGGAAUCUUCGGCAAUGGACGAAAGUCUGACCGAGCAACGCCGCGUGAGUGAAGAAGGUUUUCGGAUCGUAAAACUCUGUUGUUAAAGAAGAACAAGGACGUUAGUAACUGAACGUCCCCUGACGGUAUCUAACCAGAAAGCCACGGCUAACUACGUGCCAGCAGCCGCGGUAAUACGUAGGUGGCAAGCGUUGUCCGGAUUUAUUGGGCGUAAAGCGAGCGCAGGCGGUUUCUUAAGUCUGAUGUGAAAGCCCCCGGCUCAACCGGGGAGGGUCAUUGGAAACUGGGAGACUUGAGUGCAGAAGAGGAGAGUGGAAUUCCAUGUGUAGCGGUGAAAUGCGUAGAUAUAUGGAGGAACACCAGUGGCGAAGGCGGCUCUCUGGUCUGUAACUGACGCUGAGGCUCGAGAGCGUGGGGAGCAAACAGG